GACGAACGCUGGCGGCGCGCUUAACACAUGCAAGUCGAACGGAAAGGCCUGCUUUCCCUUGUGGAUUGCGGGUACUCGAGUGGCGAACGGGUGAGUAACACGUGAGUGAUCUGCCCCCAACUUGGGUAUAAGCCUGGGAAACUGGGUCUAAUUCCCGAUAGGACUGCAGGGUGGUGCCUGUGGUGGAAAACGAUUUUCUAGUGGUUGGGGAUGAGCUCGCGGCCUAUCAGCUUGUUGGUGGGGUAAUGGCCUACCAAGGCGGCGACGGGUAGCCGGCCUGAGAGGGUGGACGGCCACAUUGGGACUGAGAUACGGCCCAGACUGCUACGGGAGGCAGCAGUGGGGAAUAUUGCACAAUGGGCGGAAGCCUGAUGCAGCGACGCCGCGUGGGGGAUGACGGCCUUCGGGUUGUAAACUCCUUUCGACCGCGAGGAAGCCACCUGGUUGGAAGGGUGGUGACGGUAGUGGUAGAAGAAGCACCGGCUAACUACGUG
rnacentral:rRNA from 1 species